rnacentral:rRNA from 1 species
UACGGGGGGGGCAAGCGUUGUUCGGAAUUACUGGGCGUAAAGGGCUCGUAGGUGGCCAACUAAGUCAGACGUGAAAUCCCUCGGCUUAACCGGGGAACUGCGUCUGAUACUGGAUGGCUCGAGUUCGGGAGAGGUGAGUGGAACUGCGAGUGUAGAGGUGAAAUUCGUAGAUAUUCGCAAGAACACCAGUGGCGAAGGCGGCUCACUGGCCCGGUACUGACGCUGAGGUGCGAAAGCGUGGGGAGCAAACAGG